AAGGCACAUUGAAUUUAAUCACGAACAAUAAUUGUAUUAGCUAUGGGCAUUGAAUUUUCCAUGCUAACUAAAUCGUCUCCUCCUACUUCUUUAUGUUGGUUAAAUAUCGUAAUAAAGUGGUGGGUCUAAUUCAUUUGAUAGUCAACUAUUUUUUCUUGGAGGCUACUUAGUUCCUGGUAUGGUCUGUUCUCCUGAAACCUACAACUUCAGCUGUUCUAAUUAGGCUGUCUUAUUGUUUAAUUAAGACCCAACACUCUGAUCUGUAUAGAAAUGUUUGAAUAAUAAUAAUUACUUUACAAAAUUGUA